AAUGUUCCAGAAAGUGGAUUGUAUGCACUUGCUGGUAUACCACUACCAGCAUUAGCAGGCCCUGAAGGCUUAGAUGAAGCCUUUUGGGGUUCCUUGCCAGCCUUUUUGUCCUUGGACUUGGAUUUUGAAGCUGGAGACAUCUCCUUGAAAGCAAUCUGUGGGAGAGAGAGAAGACAGCGUGAUUGAAGGAAGGACCGGGAUUAAAGUCGACGAGGAGACGAUAGAUAGAAAGAUAGGUAUCUGGAAGGCCAAACAGAAUCGAUAGAUUUAGGGUUUUGGGAAAUGAAAACGAGGAGGACAAGACAUUUGAUAUGAUAAAUCCGAAACUGGUCCUCUCUCGCCCUGUGUUUUUCUUUUUUU
rnacentral:misc_RNA from 1 species